UAGCAAAAAUAUGGUUCAUUAUGCUCUAAACACAAUUGUGUGAAAGAUGAAAAUUUUUGGUCAAAAUCUUAGGCUCACCCAAGUCCAUCAUAGUUCAAGUGCAAAAAUUUUUUUUCUUA